rnacentral:rRNA from 1 species
AUUGAACGCUGGCGGCAUGCUUUACACAUGCAAGUCGAACGGUAACAGGCCUUCGGGUGCUGACGAGUGGCGAACGGGUGAGUAAUGCAUCGGAACGUGCCCAGAGGUGGGGGAUAACGCAGCGAAAGCUGUGCUAAUACCGCAUGUGAUCUGAGGAUGAAAGCGGGGGACCAGGCAGCAAUGUUUGGCCUCGCGCCUUUGGAGCGGCCGAUGUCAGAUUAGGUAGUUGGUGGGGUAAAGGCCUACCAAGCCGACGAUCUGUAGCUGGUCUGAGAGGACGACCAGCCACACUGGGACUGAGACACGGCCCAGGCUCCUACGGGAGGCAGCAGUGGGGAAUUUUGGACAAUGGGCGCAAGCCUGAUCCAGCAAUGCCGCGUGCGGGAAGAAGGCCUUCGGGUUGUAAACCGCUUUUGUACGGAACGAAAAGGCUCUGGCUAAUACCUGGGGCUGAUGACGGUACCGUAAGAAUAAGCACCGGCUAACUACGUG